ensembl:lncRNA
AUGUGGAGUAUGGAAUGUUGGGGAGUUUUGUCUACGAUUGCUGCCGCCUGUCUGUUAGGUGUGGUGGUGAGCCAGACAACGGCUCCCACGAUGGCUCCUGCUGUGAUGAACACCACAUUCAUUGAGAAUGUGACGGCGACCACCAGAGUCAGUGAGACCACCACAGUCAGUGAGAAUGUGACCUUGACCACACCCAUGAUCCUCAGCACCACAUCUCCAGGCUGCUCUGCCCUCAACACCUCCACCUGUGAGACCUGUGUCCCAGGGUCCUACUCUGACAAUGACACCCUGCUGUGUUCCUGUUGCCAUGAGCCAGGGCUGUGUCUGUUCGCUGGGGCUUGCCUCCCAUGUUCCAGAGGGUUCUUUCAGCCUCUUGCUGGACAACAACGAUGUCAGCCCUGCAGCCAGGGUUUUUACACCAAUUUUACCGGCAGCCUUAUGUGUCAGUCCUGCUCCCCAGGCUCCUACAACAACAACACAGGCUCCGACUCCUGCCGAAGCUGUUCUCCAGGUUUCUAUACAUCACAACAAAAUGCCACAUCGUGCAGUCCAUGUCAACAGGGAACGUUCUGCAACUCCUCCAGUUGUGCUCUGUGUCAGAUCUGUCCUGCUGGUACAGAGUCUCUGCAGCCAGCUGCCAAGGAGUGCACACCUUGUCGUCCAGGUAUGCACAAGGCUCCCCGUCAGAGUAUGUGUCAAAUCUGCAGCAGCGGCUUCUUCCAGAUCCGCUGGGGCCAGGAGACCUGUAACCUCUGCCCUGAAAACCACUACUGCCCAAGUCCAGAUGUGAACCCCAUCCUGUGCCCCGGUGAUGCCUUCUGUCCUGAAGGCAGCACUGCUCCAGGUUACUGCAUGGAGACCUUCUUUCGCAAGGCAGGGGAGGAGUGUGAGCUGGCCCCCGUCACCAUUGCUCUACUUGUCAUAGGAGGAGGAGUGGCCCUACUCUUCGUCAUCCUGCUGGUGUUGCGUCGAAGGCGAGACACAGACGGAGAGCUUUCCCUCGUACGACAACCUCUGUUACGCAAAGAGCGGCCGCAAGGUCGAUACUACGGGAUCCCAUGUGAUGCCGAGCCAGUAUACGCUGGUUGGUACAAAUGGGUCCAUGAAGGAUACGAAUGUAUUGCCAGCUGCAUACAAUGCGUUUGGAUAAUAAAAUGAAACAACUCAAUAUCGCCUCGCCAUCUGCUGGCCUUUGGGCUAAAACCGCCUUGACAACCGGUACGA